UACGAAGGGGGCUAGCGUUGAUCGGAAUCACUGGGCGUAAAGGGUGCGUAGGCGGAUCUUUAAGUCAGGGGUGAAAUCCUGGAGCUCAACUCCAGAACUGCCUUUGAUACUGAGGAUCUCGAGUUCGGGAGAGGUGAGUGGAACUGCGAGUGUAGAGGUGAAAUUCGUAGAUAUUCGCAAGAACACCAGUGGCGAAGGCGGCUCACUGGCCCGAUACUGACGCUGAGGCACGAAAGCGUGGGGAGCAAACAGG
rnacentral:rRNA from 1 species